rnacentral:rRNA from 1 species
AGGCCUAACACAUGCAAGUCGAGCGGUAACAGAAAGAAAGCUUGCUUUCUUUGCUGACGAGCGGCGGACGGGUGAGUAAUGCCUGGGAAUAUGCCUUAGUGUGGGGGAUAACUAUUGGAAACGAUAGCUAAUACCGCAUAACGUCCUUGUUCAUUACGAGCGGGACCAAAGAGGGGGACCUUCGGGCCUCUCGCGCUAAGAUUAGCCCAGGUGGGAUUAGCUAGUUGGUGAGGUAAAGGCUCACCAAGGCAACGAUCCCUAGCUGGUCUGAGAGGAUGAUCAGCCACACUGGAACUGAGACACGGUCCAGACUCCUACGGGAGGCAGCAGUGGGGAAUAUUGCACAAUGGGGGAAACCCUGAUGCAGCCAUGCCGCGUGUAUGAAGAAGGCCUUCGGGUUGUAAAGUACUUUCAGUUGUGAGGAAGGGUGUGUAGUUAAUAGCUCGCAUGCCUUGACGUUAGCGACAGAAGAAGCACCGGCUAACUCCGUG